rnacentral:rRNA from 1 species
UACGGGGGGGGCAAGCGUUGUUCGGAUUCAUUGGGCGUAAAGGGCUCGUAGGUGGCUUUGUAAGUCGGAGGUGAAAGACCACGGCUCAACCGUGGAAACGCUUUCGAAACUGUGAAGCUUGAGGCUGGGAGAGGAAAUCGGAAUUCCUGGUGUAGCGGUGAAAUGCGUAGAUAUCAGGAGGAACACCAAUAGCGAAGGCAGCUCGCUGGGACGGUACUGACGCUAAGGCGCGAAAGCGUGGGGAGCGAACAGG